rnacentral:rRNA from 1 species
CUGACCGAGCACGCCGCGUGAGUGAAGAAGGUUUUCGGAUCGUAAAACUCUGUUGUUAGAGAAGAACAAGGAUGAGAGUAACUGUUCAUCCCUUGACGGUAUCUAACCAGAAAGCCACGGCUAACUACGUGCCAGCAGCCGCGGUAAUACGUAGGUGGCAAGCGUUGUCCGGAUUUAUUGGGCGUAAAGCGAGCGCAGGCGGUUUCUUAAGUCUGAUGUGAAAGCCCCCGGCUCAACCGGGGAGGGUCAUUGGAAACUGGGAGACUUGAGUGCAGAAGAGGAGAGUGGAAUUCCAUGUGUAGCGGUGAAAUGCGUAGAUAUAUGGAGGAACACCAGUGGCGAAGGCGGCUCUCUGGUCUGUAACUGACGCUGAGGCUCGAAAGCGUGGGGAGCAAACAGGAUUAGAUACC